CAGAAACCUUUGCACCUCUUAUAAAGCACUGCUGUGCAGAUAUUUAUGAAUUUAUGCUCAGCUAUGGUAAAAAGAGGGGGUAUCGUGUGGCUUUGUUACUUCCUGGUUUGAGGCAGAAUUUACUGCACCACAUGCAAAGCCUGUGGAUUUUCUGCAAAUGUAGGAACUUACAUUGAAGCAAAUUACAUUUCUGCAUUAGCUGAAAAUCCCCAGAAACUUCCAAUAUACGUUUAUUUUAAUUCUCUCUAAUAUUUUAUUUUUUAACUCAAACUAGAAUGUCUUUUUAACACAUAAAUGAAUACACUCCUGUGGCAUCUAAAUGAAGGUAUGAACUCCGGCAAUAUAAACGGACCUGUGGAUUAAAACACAUGCUGAGCUUUCCUGAUAGUACAGCAUCAACACUGCAUGGUGUCAAGGAUAAAGCAUGCUAUAAUCAAUAGAGGAUUUCUUUGAAGUAUAUGAUGCAGACUCCCUUGCUCUGACACUGUUUCACCUUUAGUUUGAAAUGUAAAUUUCAAAGAUGAUUCAUGAUAAAGCAUUAGACUCAC